GACGACCGCUGGCGGCGUGUCUAAUACAUGCAAGUCAAGCGAAGCGCCGGAUGAGUGCGUAACGCGUGGGUAACCUGCCCUUCAGUCUGGGAUACCAUUUGGACACAGAUGCUAAUACCGGAUACUAAAGUAUCGACCUGCGAUGCAUUAGCUAGUUGGUAAGGUAACGGCUUACCAAGGCGAUGAUGCAUAGCCGAGUUGAGAGACUGAUCGGCCACAUUGGGACUGAGACACGGCCCAAACUCCUACGGGAGGCAGCAGUAGGGAAUCUUCCACAAUGGACGAAAGUCUGAUGGAGCAACGCCGCGUGAGUGAAGAAGGUUUUCGGAUCGUAAAGCUCUGUUGUUGGUGAAGCGGUAAUCAACCAGAAAGUCACGGCUAACUACGUGCCAGCAGCCGCGGUAAUAC
rnacentral:rRNA from 1 species